AAAAAAUCCAAAAAAAAA
rnacentral:sRNA from 1 species